AUCCACAGUGUUCGUGUCAUCGAAGCUUGGACCCUUAACAUCCUCUUCCACCGGCUCUGAUUCAUCAUUCAAGCUCUUGCUCCUUGCGUCUCCAUUGACAUGCUCCAAUUCGACUAUAUUGUUGUUUAUGGCAUCCACAGCCUCAGAUUCAUUCAAGCUCUUGCUCCUUGCAUCUUCAUUCACCGCAUCCAUUUCAUCUAUAUUGUUGUCCGUGCCAUCCGGAUCCACAUCCACAGCCUCAGAUUCAUCCAAGCUCUUGGUCCUUGCAUCUUGAUUGACCAUCUCCGUUUCGUCAAUAUUGUUGUCCAUGGCAUCUGGAUCCACAUCCACAGCCUCAGAUUCAUUCAAGCUCUUGCUCCUUGCAUCUUCACUGACUGCCUCCAUUUCAUCUAUAUUGUUGUCCAUGGCAUCCAGAUCCACAGCCACAGCCUCACAUUCAUUCGAGCUCUUGAUUGUUGAAAAUUCCUCGACCACCUCUAGUU
rnacentral:lncRNA from 1 species